GCUGCUCGUCGUCUCUUGAUCAGCCUGAACAGGCCGCGUCCCUUCCUCCUAAAGCUAAGUGGAAUAAGGGAAGAAGGUGGAGCAUUGAAGACAAGCUUACCUUGAGAAUACUUGGUAGGAUGAAUUAAAGGCUCACUUCUCCUUGUGCAGUCCUCAAAUGAAGAAUGAAGAGAAUGCAACAAUGUUGGCUGUUUUGAAUGACGAGGUGGUUUGGCUGGGAGCUUGUAUACUUAGGUGUACUUGGGCAUGGCAGCCUGCUGCAUAGGCGUGGGAAAAGAAAAGGUGCAGCAAGCUCAAGAGGGGAUAGGGGAGUGUGCAGCACAUGUCUCCACCCCCUUUCUCUUUUUCCCAUUUUCUUGAACUUAGGGGGGUGGCAGAGUACUGUAGCAACACUGUUGAGUACUGUAGCAAUAACUAUUGAGUACUGUAGCGGCACUGUAGCAACGACUGUUUGAGUACUGUAGCGGUACUGAUUGUUUUGUGUCUACAAUAAAUCUUUCAUUGGUUCUGUAUU